UGCAUCGAUGAAGAACGCAGCGAAAUGCGAUAAUUAAUGUGAAUUGCAGAAUUCAGUGAAUCAUCGAGUCUUUGAACGCACAUUGCGCCCCCUGGUAUUCCGGGGGGCAUGCCUGUCCGAGCGUCAUUGCUGCCCUCAAGCACGGCUUGUGUGUUGGGCUUCCGUCCCUGGCAACGGGGACGGGCCCAAAAGGCAGUGGCGGCACCAUGUCUGGUCCUCGAGCGUAUGGGGCUUUGUCACCCGCUCCCGUAGGUCCAGCUGGCAGCUAGCCUCGCAACCAAUCUUUUUAACCAGGUUGACCUCGGAUCAGGUAGGGAUACCCGCUGAACUUAAGCAUAUCAAUAA
rnacentral:rRNA from 1 species